rnacentral:rRNA from 1 species
AUUGAACGCUGGCGGCAUGCCUUACACAUGCAAGUCGAACGGCAGCAUGAUCUAGCUUGCUAGAUUGAUGGCGAGUGGCGAACGGGUGAGUAAUACAUCGGAACGUGCCCUGUAGUGGGGGAUAACUAGUCGAAAGAUUAGCUAAUACCGCAUACGACCUGAGGGUGAAAGUGGGGGACCGUAAGGCCUCAUGCUAUAGGAGCGGCCGAUGUCUGAUUAGCUAGUUGGUGAGGUAAAGGCUCACCAAGGCGACGAUCAGUAGCUGGUCUGAGAGGACGAUCAGCCACACUGGGACUGAGACACGGCCCAGACUCCUACGGGAGGCAGCAGUGGGGAAUUUUGGACAAUGGGCGAAAGCCUGAUCCAGCAAUGCCGCGUGUGUGAAGAAGGCCUUCGGGUUGUAAAGCACUUUUGUCCGGAAAGAAAUGGCUCUGGUUAAUACCUGGGGUCGAUGACGGUACCGGAAGAAUAAGGACCGGCUAACUACGUG